rnacentral:piRNA from 1 species
UUGGUUUUCUACAAGAGUGAUUUGUGCUGC